AAAAAAAAAACCUUUUUUCCUCGUAUAUUAUGUUUCGAUACACAAUAUAGGUAACUGCAUAUUAUUAUUGUUAUUCUCGAUUCUAUAGUCUCACCAUUUUUUUUUUUUAACGUAUACAUAAAUCAAACGCGUACACAUUUCUGUCACAUAGUAUAUGGUAGAGUAGAAACCGGCGUACGGAAAAAAAAAAAAAUUGACGAGUUUCAAAUAUUAGCUUUUAUUGGAUAAUAUAGUUAACGUACAUAUUUUAUUGUUGUGUUUCGUUUAAUUUAUCGCGUAACUUUCAUGUAAUAUAAUUUAAUAUUGCAAUCAGAUAAUAUUUUUAUGGAAUCUCUUUUUUUGUACAAAUAAUAAUAUAUAAUAUAAACAGGAAUCGUUUUUUUUUUUUUUUUUCCCAUAGUUAUUAAUUUAUUAUAUAUAUUUAUAUUAUACGAGUACCUAUUAAAAUACUAUAUAAAAGCAACGAGACAGCGAGAAAAACAAACCAUAUAAUUUAUUUGUAUAAUAAUAUUAUUAUAUUAUAUUAAUGUUGUCUUGAUAUUAUAUUAAAUAAUACUGAUAAUGUGUUUCGAAAAUAAAGCCUAAUACAUAUUAUACAAUUAUAAUCAAAACGGAAAAGAAAAAAAAAAUCGUGCGUUUUUAUUUUCCGUAUACACCAUCGUAUUAAGAAAAAUAGUGUUUUGGCCAUUAUAACCCGGUGAUAUUCGUUAUCAGACAUGGUUAUACACAAUUACGGUUGUCUAAU